UACAGAGGGUGCGAGCGUUAAUCGGAAUUACUGGGCGUAAAGCGCACGUAGGUGGCGACGUAAGUCGGGUGUGAAAGCCCCGGGCUCAACCUGGGAAUUGCAUUCGAGACUGCAUUGCUGGAGUACGGAAGAGGAGGGCGGAAUUCCCGGUGUAGCGGUGAAAUGCGUAGAUAUCGGGAGGAACAUCAGUGGCGAAGGAGGCCCUCUGGUCCAGUAAUGACCAUCAAGUGUGAAAGCGUGGGGAGCAAACAGG
rnacentral:rRNA from 1 species